rnacentral:lncRNA from 1 species
UGGGGGGGAGGGGGGAGGUGGGACGUACCGGGAACCAAAAGGUCAUUCAGCUUUUGUAACUGAUCUGAUCCUCGUUCUAAAAUUAGGGAUAUGACACUCUAACAGAAAAGAAACCACGCCGGCGUGUGCUUCCCAGACGAUAUAGAAGACUCAGAGAGAAGAAGGGUGUUGUAACAGUUUUAUAUACAGUUCAAACAAUAUCGAGUUGUCACACCAUUUUUUCCCCGAAGAAUAUAGGAGUUUUUUCAAUUAAAGUGACAUUAUUCGAAAUGGGAUUAUUUAUUUAAUUAGAGUCGCCACUUGAAAUAUUUAUUAUGGUGUCCCAAGUCACCGGUUUAUUUUAAAAUCCCAAAUCGAGGAAAUUGACUCUAUUUAUGGUCCGCGAACACAGAAAACUGGGUAAAAAAUUCUGUUAACCCGGAAGAAGGUGUGAGGCACUCCCGAGUUCUGUGGUUUUAGCACGAUCGCUUAACAAUUAGUACUUGGCUUAUUUAAAUUGUAACCACUUUUAUUUUUAGCCAUUUUUAGUAUUUAUGGAAUUUAUUUGAACAAGUCACAAUGUCACGCACUUAUUAUUUUUGUACACAUUGCAAAUCACGUCACGUGAAACGUACCCGCAAUUUACAACAUAUUUAUUUUAUUAUUAUUUGAAGUUGGGGUCAAGUCACGUAAACGCGCACUUAAUUGAGAUUUACAUAUCAUGACCAUGCCACGGGAACCGUACCCAUAGUCAAGAUAAUUUAUUAAUUAAUCGCGCCUAAAGCAACUAGCGCGUUUGAAUUAUUUUUUCUACUUCGAGAUUAUUGUGAAGAACAAAGGUUAUGGAAUAGUUGUGGGAAAAUGUAGUAUUUGAUUAACGUUUUUUACUAAAUCAAAAAAAAAAACAUGGAUUAACUUAUAUCUAAACCCAUAUUCCUUCUAACGCACACCAUCGGUAAAAUAACAAUUAAACUCUACAAGCUCGGAAGUCCAUAAUUUAGUUCCACCCCAUUAAAUAAACACUCUUAUAUAAAGAUAUAAUCUAACUUUUGCCUCUCUAGUAACAUUGAUCCACUUAUUUCCAUUAAAUAAAUAAAUAAAUAAUUUGCGGUACACUCGAAGAAUAAAAAUUAGAUAUUUGGGUCAAAGAGCGAAUUCUUGAGGGAACGCCUCAACCAUAAACUAAUAGAUUAGAACAUAAAACCAACAAAAUCACCACCUAAGCAAUACAUGGUUAAUUUAAGCAAAUAUGCAGCAGGAUAUUUCAUGCAAUAAUCUUUAUCUGAUCAAAAUAAAUAAAUAAAUCCGAACCAGCAUCUAAAAAUUGACACACAUAUAGAUCAAUAACAGAGAAUGAAGAUAAGAGAUUGGACCUCUAUAGAUUUCUUUGCAAUUUGAGAAAAAGGACAAAACAAACUCUGACACUUGAAACCAAACUUCAACGCCGAGACCGACGGGAAAGCGACAUCCAGGACACAAACGGAGUAGUCGAACAGAAACUCGCCAUUGACUGGAAACCUUGAACCCAGCAAAACAUCACUGUUUUAGGUGGGGGGGGGGGGAGGACUAUUCUGAGGUAUUUUUAUGGCUAAUUUGGUGCAUUUUUCUGGAUUUUCUUUGCGUUAUUUGGGCCAAGGAGGGGACAUUUGUAGACUGUUUUUUGCUGGAUUUGAGGGCUAUUUUCAGAGCUGAUUUUCGGGACUGUUUCAGCUGAAUUUUGGGGUCACGGGUUUUGGGGCUGGUUUUGCUUAGUUUUGGGGACUAUUUUGAGGAGGUUUUGGGGGUGUUUUUCAGCUGUGUUUUGGCUGCACUUUUGGACUGUUUUUGAGGCUGUUUCGAGGUGGUUUAGAGGCUGGUUUAUGGAGAGAUUUUACCUCAUUUUUCGAGCUUUAUUCGGCUGGUUUCAAUGGAGUUUUAGGGGGUUGCUUUUGGGGUGUUCAUGGCUGGAAAAGAAGAGGAUGUAUGGGGGUUUUUGGGUGGUGUUUUAGUCGCUUUAUGACUGAAUUUUCAUGAUUGUUUAGGGGGCUUUUAGAGCUGGUUUUCACAUAGGGAAGAAAGGCUCGUGAGCUGCUGCUAUAGAGAAAAAGAUGCAGUGGAUUUUCGUUGCUGCUUUGAGGAAGGGAACAAUCCCUCUUUUCUUUCCAAUCUCCCGUUUCUCUCUCAUUUUUCAGCGAUUUUCCCCGGCCCCCUUUUUGUGUGCUGUGUUUU